rnacentral:lncRNA from 1 species
CGUGGACUCACUAGUUAGCGCAAGUAUUAGUCAAACUCUCUUCCGCGUCUCUCACAAAAGUCAAUACUUAAACAAAUAACGUGCACAGGCUCCCCUACGACGCCGUAUCGUUGCUCAAAAACCAAAAGCCUUCUCAGUCUUCAGGUCCCUUCCCUCAACUCCAACGUCGCCAUUCCCCAAUCCUCCUCCCUUCACAGUCUUCCCGCGAAUCCAAUUCCACCGCCCGAACCCGAAAUCGAAACCGUUUCGAUCACUUAACCGGGAAUCUGACCGGAAUCUCUCUCAGAUUCCGAUCCGAGCCAGAGACGGAGCUCCGGCUCAGCAGUGACCCCGGCGUGCGGCGAUCGGAUCGCCG